GCCGCACGCCAGCCGGCACCGCUCCACGCACUGCGCCGCGUCCGCCGUGCUCACCGCCUUCAGGCAGCACGACAACGCGUGCAGCUGGAACGUUCGCAAGAAACGCUUUAGUAUUACGCCGCUGGACUCCGACAGAAUUCACCACCGGAUCGGAAACGCGAUUUACUGAGAAGAUCCGGCGAGAAACUCAGUGGGCCGUGUCUGUGGGUUAAUUUACUCAUCGAGCCCUUCGUCAGAGGCGACGGGUUCGACGAAAACGAGCUAAAACGAAGCUAAAACAAAGAUUCAAGCAUUAGAUAGCAGUGAUUUCUGGUUCUAUAACAUUCGAGAACCAAUACGACCUUUAUACUACUACUUUUAGACUUUAUUUUUAAAUUUUAAUGCCAAAUUUAAGAAACGCCAAAAGAAUUAUAUUCAUUUAACUUGACCUAGCUACGAACAAUGUUUGAUACUUAUCGAGGUACAUUCAUUGAUGAUUAUUUUAAAAAUUAAAACGAGAGGUGAAACGCUAUUUGGUUUGAAGACAUUUCACUAAAUACGCGCCAUUAGUCUUUGUAAUUAAAGGUGCAUUUAAUUUGGUAUUACCGUCAAGAGUUCGAUUUUUUUAAUUGAACUUCAAUUAAGUUUACUCCAUUCAAAUAGCUGAAUAGUUUUUUGUUUGUUAUGUUUUUUCCACAUUUUAAUCUUUAAAUGGCUCUCCUGUAUAGUUGCAAAAAUGUCGCUUAAACCCUUUUUUUAUUGUGAGACGAGCAUACGACCCACCUGAUGGUGAGUAGUUACCGUCACCCAUGGACUUCAGCAAUACCAGGGACAGAGCCAGGCCGCUGCUUACCAACGUCUCCUUUCACCUCUCGAAUUAUGAUCAAUCAAAAGUAAUAAAAUAUUUUCUACAAUUUUCGUCGUUAUUACAUUACAACGCGGAAAUCAUUCGACAAAUUAUUGGUGUACAAAAUCUAUUUUGCUUUUUUUUCGUUACGGCUUCAUGAAUGAUCAUAAAUAUGAUCGAAGGGGAAUCGCUUAGUUGAAAAUUUAUAUAUUAAUGCGUGAAGCAAAAACUUUUUACACCUUUUUACGAAAAUUACGCGGACGGAAGAGUAUGAAAUUUCCCACACAUAUAGAGAAUAUAGAGAAGGAGUGCAGAAUGUUAAUAUUUUUUUAAAUUAUGCAUAAAAAAUACAUUAAAUCAAUAAAACAUUACACACACUACCAUGUAUUUGACACACACACGCAUGCGCACUAUUUGUUUAUUGUCAAACUUUUCUUAUUGCUUAUAGUCUGUGGUCAAAUUGAGAAUAGAUUAAAUAUUGUUUGUAUUUAUUAA